AUUGAACGCUGGCGGCAUGCCUUACACAUGCAAGUCGAACGGUAACGGGCCUUCGGGUGCCGACGAGUGGCGAACGGGUGAGUAAUGCAUCGGAACGUACCUUUCAGUGGGGGAUAACGUAGCGAGAGUUACGCUAAUACCGCAUAUUCUGUGAGCAGGAAAGCAGGGGAUCGCAAGACCUUGCGCUGAUUGAGCGGCCGAUGUCAGAUUAGCUAGUUGGUGAGGUAAAGGCUCACCAAGGCGACGAUCUGUAGCGGGUCUGAGAGGAUGAUCCGCCACACUGGAACUGAGACACGGUCCAGACUCCUACGGGAGGCAGCAGUGGGGAAUUUUGGACAAUGGGGGCAACCCUGAUCCAGCCAUGCCGCGUGAGUGAAGAAGGCCUUCGGGUUGUAAAGCUCUUUCGGUCGGGAAGAAAUCGCAUGGGUUAAUACCCUGUGCGGAUGACGGUACCGGCAUAAGAAGCACCGGCUAACUACGUGCCAGCCGCCGCAGUAAUAC
rnacentral:rRNA from 1 species